rnacentral:lncRNA from 1 species
AAGCAGGCAAGGCCGCUUGUCCAGUAGACCCUGACAAUGCCACGCAUGCUGCGGAAACUGCUCAGAGAAGAGCUUACAAAGAAGCAGACAAAGCCAGCAUGGAAACGGGUGAUAAGCAGAGAUCUGCGGCCAUCAAGAGGGAGAGAAGAGGAGGCAGCUGCAAAGACUGAGGCCAGAAAACCGAUGGAGAGUCAGAUUUGGGACUCUAACGACCCUGGUGACAUCUCCUCCCAGUUCAGCAGGCGCCAUUCCUUGUUGGGAUUACAAAAAGACUGUUUAGGACAUUGUUGAAUUUUAACAUCUCCAGAUGCUGGCACUAAACGCUGGAGCACCUUCCAUCCUUCAAUUAAUGCAACAACUGGAAAUGCCCCCCUAUGGUUCUCAGUGUCCCCCGGAGGGGUAGUAUCAUCUUCCAUACGCCGUGUGAAUCACUAUGACUAGUGUGUGGAUCUGUGUGCUAGCAUAUGGGUAGCCUUCUACUCCUGUAUCCUUCAUACAAAUAUAGAGGAAACUGCUCAUCUGUAAGUACAAUGAAAAAGCCACACAAUGAAUCCAACUCUGAAAAAGCUGAAUGCUUUCACACUAUGUCAUCCUGCCUGCCUGUCCUGCUCUUCUCAGAACCCCAAUCUUCUUAGAUGAAUGCUCAGAAGCUCUGUCUCCUGUAGCCACCUUCAGCCCACAUACCACCUGUGCAAAAAUGUACAUACAUAUCAAUGUGCAUGAGCAUGGUGUCACAACACACAUCUAACUUUGUGUCUGUUUGCAGAUGCGCAUCCAUGAUAUGGACCACUUGUGCCAUUUCUAAGUUUGGGAAAUAUUUAAUAUCAUUCAAAGCCAACCAAUAUGGCAGUAUGCUUUGAAAGUGAAAUUCUAGUAACAUAAAAAUCACAUUUAUCUGAAAAUGAGCAGGUUUCCAUGUGUGAGUAGUAAGGUACCCAUGUGUUGAGAGUGACAUGUAACGUGGGGUUUGUAAAAACCUCUGACAAUGUUGAAUAUAU